CCACCUUUGACACUUCGCGCUCCCCAUCCAAACCGUACUGAUCCGCCGGCCGCCGUUCUCCAUUUCAAAUUGCAAACCUAUACUCCUUUUCCGCCUCCUCGACGCAACUCGUCGCCGUCUUCUCCAACUCGCACUUCGUCCCUCGCCCCACCCAGGGGCGGAUCUCCACCCGGGGCUGCCUGGGCUGCAGCCCCUGUCGGCAGUCGCGGCCCAGUCCAUCAUCGCGCGACAUGACCUAGCAGUAGCAGCAGACGUCCUACGUCCAGCCCCAGCCGCCGCCGUUUGGCUCCUGCGUUCGAUCUCGCUGCGUCCUGGUCCUGCGCCCUGCGGUCCAGCCUCCUCUCCAAGACUCCACUUCUCCAGCGCGCUCGCCCGCGCCAGCCGCCAGGCCGCCACCGGCCACCGCCAUUGGCCCCACCAUUUGCCGCUCCCGCCUACGAUGCCGACGAGUGAGGUGUGGAGCUUGUCCGAUUUUGAAAUCAGCAAGUACAUCGCUGAGGGCAGGUUCGGCAAGGUCUACCUCGCCCGCGAGAAGCAGAGCGGGUACGUGGUGGCGCUCAAGGUGAUAUUUAAGGCGAAACUGAAGAAGCACCGCUUCCACGCGCACCUACGGCGGGAGAUCGAGAUCCAGCAGAGUCUCGACCACCCUAACGUGCUCCGCCUCUUCACCUGGUUCCACGACGAAGAGCGAGUCGUCCUCGUCCUCGAGUACGCGGCCCGUGGCGAGCUCUACAAGGUCCUUCGCGCUGCUGGCCGCUUCACCGAGCGCACGUCCGCCACAUAUGUAGCGAGUCUUGCUGGUGCACUGGCAUACUGUCACAAAAAGCAAGUCAUUCAUAGGGACAUCAAGCCUGAGAAUUUGCUAAUCGACAUCGAGGGCCGGCUUAAAAUUGCAGAUUUUGGAUGGGCGGCUCGUUCAAAUGCUAAACGCCACACACUCUGUGGCACAAUCGAUUAUCUGGCACCAGAGAUGGUAGAGAAAAAAGCUCAUGACCAUGCUGUGGACAACUGGACAUUAGGAAUCCUGUGCUAUGAGUUCUUAUAUGGUUCACCUCCUUUUGAAGCUGAUGAACAGGAUGAUACCUUGAGAAGGAUAGUUAGGGUGGAUUUGGCAUUCCCUUCAUCUCCUUGUGUAUCUUCAGAGGCUAAGGAUCUCAUUUCCAAGUGUGAUUGUGUAUGCAGCUUCUAGUUAAGGAUUCAAGCAAGAGGCUUUGCCUUGAAGACAUCAUGAAGCAUCCAUGGAUAAAGAAGAAUGCAGACCCUUCAGGCAGUUGCAUUAAGCAAAAAGAUGUCACAAGAUCAAAGCUUCUGUAAUAUCAGUACAACGUGCUUGCCAGUGGGCAAGAACCUUCUGAUGUGGUGCCAAACUCGUCACUACUGGAGGACAAAUAUAAUGACCUGUUGUAGUUUUAAGUUCCGAUAGUUCUGGAGUGGAUUGGUGUGUGUGUGUAUCCCUGCAAGCUUUCUCCUACAGGCUGGAGUUCUAGUUCUGAUACAGCGUUUGUGUUACCCUUUUGAACUGAGUGGUGAAACCAAUGUUCACUGGAGAGGAAUGUAGUUUUCAACUGAGUUGUUGAACCUUCGCGAAUUGGAGGGUCAAUGGUCUGUGGAGAUUGGAGAGGAACGUGGCUUUCGCUGUGGCGAUCGUAUUUUGUAAUUGUCGAAUCUACAGUAUUUUGGUCUUUAGCAAUGAAAUAUGGAGAUGCCCGUAGUUUUUCUA